AGCGAACGCUGGCGGCAGGCUUAACACAUGCAAGUCGAACGGGCGUAGCAAUACGUCAGUGGCAGACGGGUGAGUAACGCGUGGGAACGUACCUUUUGGUUCGGAACAACACAGGGAAACUUGUGCUAAUACCGGAUAAGCCCUUACGGGGAAGAUUAUCGCCGAAAGAUCGGCCCGCGUCUGAUUAGCUAGUUGGUGAGGUAAUGGCUCACCAAGGCGACGAUCAGUAGCUGGUCUGAGAGGAUGAUCAGCCACACUGGGACUGAGACACGGCCCAGACUCCUACGGGAGGCAGCAGUGGGGAAUAUUGGACAAUGGGGGCGAACCCUCGAUCCAGCCAUGCCGCGUGAGUGAUGAAGGCCCUAGGGUUGUAAAGCUCUUUGUUGCGGGAAGAUAAUGACGGUACCGCAAGAAUAAGCCCCGGCCUAACUUCGUG
rnacentral:rRNA from 1 species